UACGUAGGGGGCUAGCGUUGUCCGGAAUUAUUGGGCGUAAAGAGCUCGUAGGCGGCUUGUCACGUCGGGUGUGAAAGCCCGGGGCUUAACCCCGGGUCUGCAUUCGAUACGGGCUAGCUAGAGUGUGGUAGGGGAGAUCGGAAUUCCUGGUGUAGCGGUGAAAUGCGCAGAUAUCAGGAGGAACACCGGUGGCGAAGGCGGUUCUCUGGGCCUUACCUGACGCUGAGGAGCGAAAGCGUGGGGAGCAAACAGG
rnacentral:rRNA from 1 species